rnacentral:rRNA from 1 species
GAUGAACGCUGGCGGCGUGCCUAAUACAUGCAAGUCGAGCGAACGGACGAGAAGCUUGCUUCUCUGAUGUUAGCGGCGGACGGGUGAGUAACACGUGGAUAACCUACCUAUAAGACUGGGAUAACUUCGGGAAACCGUAGCUAAUACCGGAUAAUAUUUUGAACCGCAUGGUUCAAAAGUGAAAGACGGUCUUGCUGUCACUUAUAGAUGGAUCCGCGCUGCAUUAGCUAGUUGGUAAGGUAACGGCUUACCAAGGCAUCGAUGCAUAGCCGACCUGAGAGGGUGAUCGGCCACACUGGAACUGAGACACGGUCCAGACUCCUACGGGAGGCAGCAGUAGGGAAUCUUCCGCAAUGGGCGAAAGCCUGACGGAGCAACGCCGCGUGAGUGAUGAAGGUCCUCGGAUCGUAAAACUCUGUUAUUAGGGAAGAACAUAUGUGUAAGUAACUGUGCACAUCUUGACGGUACCUAAUCAGAAAGCCACGGCUAACUACGUG